CUAGUCGUCGGCGAAAUUACAUUCGAGUAUCUGCCUUAUCAACUAUCGUUGGUAGUGUAUUGGACCACCAUGGUGUUGACGGGUAACGGAGAAUCAGGGUUCGACUCCGGAGAGGGAGCCUUAGAAACGGCUACCAUGUCUAAGGACAGCAGCAGGCGCGCAACUUAUCCACUGUUCAUUGAACGAGAUAGUGACGAGAAAUAACAAAUUCGUUCUCUUUGAGGUCGAAUAUUGGAAUGGAUGAAAUGUAAACGAUUUCAUGAGUUCAACGAG
rnacentral:rRNA from 1 species